rnacentral:rRNA from 1 species
GCAAUUAUACAGCGAAACUGCGAAUGGCUCAUUAUAUAAGUUAUCGUUUAUUUGAUAGUACCUUACUACUUGGAUAACCGUGGUAAUUCUAGAGCUAAUACAUGCUAAAAAUCCCGACUUCGGAAGGGAUGUAUUUAUUAGAUUAAAAACCAAUGCCCUCUGGGCUCUCUGGUGAUUCAUGAUAACUUCUCGAAUCGCAUGGCCUUGCGCCGGCGAUGGUUCAUUCAAAUUUCUUCCCUAUCAACUUUCGAUGUUUGGGUAGUGGCCAAACAUGGUUGCAACGGGUAACGGAGGGUUAGGGCUCGACCCCGGAGAAGGAGCCUGAGAAACGGCUACUACAUCCAAGGAAGGCAGCAGGCGCGCAAAUUACCCAAUCCCGACACGGGGAGGUAGUGACAAUAAAUACUGAUACAGGGCUCUUUUGGGUCUUGUAAUUGGAAUGAGUACAAUUUAAAUCCCUUAACGAGGAACAAUUGGAGGGCAAGUCUGGUGCCAGCAGCCGCGGUAAUUCCAGCUCCAAUAGCGUAUAUUAAAGUUGUUGUGGUUAAAAAGCUCGUAGUUGAACCUUGGGCCUGGCUGGCCGGUCCGCCUCACCGCGUGUACUGGUCCGGCCGGGCCUUUCCCUCUGUGGAACCCCAUGCCCUUCACUGGGUGUGGCGGGGAAACAGGACUUUUACUUUGAAAAAAUUAGAGUGCUCCAGGCAGGCCUAUGCUCGAAUACAUUAGCAUGGAAUAAUGAAAUAGGACGUGCGGUUCUAUUUUGUUGGUUUCUAGGACCGCCGUAAUGAUUAAUAGGGACAGUCGGGGGCAUCAGUAUUCAAUUGUCAGAGGUGAAAUUCUUGGAUUUAUUGAAGACUAACUACUGCGAAAGCAUUUGCCAAGGAUGUUUUCAUUAAUCAGGAACGAAAGUUAGGGGAUCGAAGACGAUCAGAUACCGUCGUAGUCUUAACCAUAAACUAUGCCGACUAGGGAUCGGACGAUGUUAUUUUUUGACUCGUUCGGCACCUUACGAGAAAUCAAAGUGC